GUAUCGAAUUUCACUACCGUCGACAUUAACCCUUAAUGGAGUAACCAUUUGUCAGUGCAGACUAAACAGGGUAAUUACGAGGCAGCGCGGACUAAAUGACACAACGCUUUAAUUAUUCAGCAUUCCAAAGAAGGAGAAGCACAUGAAGCUAUUUGUGGAAGUUUUAUCAAGCAGUCCCUCCUCAAGCCGGUGUCCUGCUUGGAGAGAUGUUCUUCCCACUGAUCAGGAGCAGCCAUGAGAGGUGAUUUAUGAGAGCUGGGAUUUCCGGUCAGAACAGCCUAAUUGAGCGUCUGUAUUCUCCUGAGCAGUCCUUGGGAGAAGGAGAAGAUACUGCUCUGCAGAGGGGAGAACUGCUGAAUAGAUCCACAGUUGCUUCCAGGAUACUUAGAGUAAUAACUAACGAUGAAUGCUGGUGUCUGUCUGAGGACUCUGAGGAUGUCGAUGAGUUUGUGUCAGUGACUGUGACUCUGUGCUGGCGCCAGCGCAGCGAGCUGAGGGUGCACACCGGACGCCAAACAAAUGGAUCAGCACACUCAGUCCAGGACUGCUGAAGUCAGCACUCAGCACUAUAGAGUGACACCUGUCAUUGUUGGUGUUUGUGCAUGCAAUAAUGUGAGGAAAUAAUCACAUCCAAUAUAAGAGUUUUACAAGUGUGCUUCCGGUAUUUUAUUAUUUGUCCUUGACACAUAAUAGUUUCUCUCUUAUUAACUUUUAGAGUGCUUGGACUGAGAAGAAAAGAGCUAGUUAAAUAGCUCAGCUUUUUAUGCCAUCAUCACAACGUGUUCCAUAGCUACGCGAAGGUUGUGAACUGACUAACAAAAUAAAUGCUAAAUUAGAUUAUGGUGACAAAUGAACAAAUACAUCUUAACCAUAUGUGUGUCUUCAAAUUACACUCAGAAUUUUUGAAUGGCAGAAGCUUGCGGUUUUUAGGCUGGCACGAGACACAAGGCAUUCACCACAAAUCGUUCUUGGAGCUUACAACAUCAAACAAUUCUGUUAAAUAAGACCAUGGAUGGGGAAUAUCUUGCUUCUCCAAAUCUGUUGUGUCAUUGUCAUUAAUGCUCUCUUGUUCACGUUCCUCCAUGUCACUGCUGUCCCUGAUUUUUCUGCAUUUUUAAGUCCCCAAGAUCUCAAUCAAUCAAUCCAUCAAAAUCUCAACAGCGGUUAACUUUACCUCCCUCUAUUUACAUCUUUUUAUGUCGUGUCAUCCGGGAGGUUUUGAGAAAAAAAAAAAAAAGAAGUAGCGAGCCUAUUUGGACUAAGUAAGGAGUGGGAAUUACAUAUGUCUGUUUUCAAAUGUAGUGAGUAAAAGUAAAGAGUACAGCACAGAUGCCUGAAAAAAAAUCUUCUUAAAUAGAGUAAGAAAGCAUUUGUACAUUGUUACUUUUGAUCACGGAUA